rnacentral:rRNA from 1 species
AAUCAACGCUGGCGGCGUGCCUAACACAUGCAAGUCGAACGCGAAAGGGGACUUCGGUUCCUGAGUAGAGUGGCGUACGGGUGAGUAACGCGUGGGUCAUCUGCCCUCGGGUGGGGAAUAACUAAUCGAAAGGUUAGCUAAUACCGCAUAACACAGUGAUGUCAAAGCAGCAAUGUGCCUGAGGAGGAGCCUGCGUCUGAUUAGGUAGUUGGUGGGGUAACGGCCUACCAAGCCUGCGAUCAGUAGCUGGUCUGAGAGGAUGAUCAGCCACACUGGGACUGAGACACGGCCCAGACUCCUACGGGAGGCAGCAGUGGGGAGUAUUGGACAAUGGGGGCAACCCUGAUCCAGCAAUGCCGCGUGAGUGAUGAAGGCCUUAGGGUUAGUAAAGCUCGUUUCGGCGGGGAAGAUGAUGGACGGUACCCGCAGAAGAACGCCCGGCUAACUUCGUGCCAGCCGCCGCGGUAAG